rnacentral:rRNA from 1 species
UACGGAGGGUGCAAGCGUUGUCCGGAUUUAUUGGGUUUAAAGGGUGCGUAGGCGGUCAACUAAGUCAGUGGUGAAAGGCAGCAGCUCAACUGUUGCACUGCCAUUGAUACUGGAUGACUUGAGUACAGACGAGGUAGGCGGAAUUUAUGGUGUAGCGGUGAAAUGCAUAGAUACCAUAAAGAACACCGAUUGCGAAGGCAGCUUACUAGGCUGUAACUGACGCUGAGGCACGAAAGCGUGGGGAUCGAACGGG